GUGGCUUCUUCUGUAUAUCGUUAGUUAUAGGACUUUUGUUCAGUUACAUUUCAGGCAGUUCUGAAUGAUGGUUGUUUUGGUAGUUUAGUUGUAAUCUUUAUGUGGUUUUGGGAGGAUGCAAGUUCCACAUUUACCUACACCACUAUCUUGACUGGAAGUCACUGUUUUUUAAAAUAUC